GUGGGGAAUUUUGGACAAUGGGCGCAAGCCUGAUCCAGCAAUGCCGCGUGCAGGAAGAAGGCCUUCGGGUUGUAAACUGCUUUUGUACGGAACGAAACGGUCCUGGUUAAUACCUGGGGCUAAUGACGGUACCGUAAGAAUAAGCACCGGCUAACUACGUGCCAGCAGCCGCGGUAAUACGUAGGGUGCGAGCGUUAAUCGGAAUUACUGGGCGUAAAGCGUGCGCAGGCGGUGCUGUAAGACAGGCGUGAAAUCCCCGGGCUCAAGCUGGGAAUUGCGCUUGUGACUGCAGUGCUGGAGUACGGCAGAGGGGGAUGAAAUUCCGCGUGUAGCAGUGAAAUGCGUAGAUAUGCGGAGGAACACCGAUGGCGAAGGCAGUCCCCUGGGCCUGUACUGACGCUCAUGCACGAAAGCGUGGGGAGCAAACAGGAUUAGAAACCCCGGUAGUCC
rnacentral:rRNA from 1 species